rnacentral:lncRNA from 1 species
AUGAUACUGGGCCUUAUGUAUAUAAAGACGUCAGCGGAUUUCCAAUUGGAUUCAUUCACGACUUAAUAGACGCAGUCUGCCUGGAGGCGGAUAUGGAUUGUAGGACGGUCACGGACCAAUCCACCAAUUGUAUGAUCUCGGAGAGAGGGCAGCCGAUGCGCGGGGGGCAAGGACUUAUGGAAGGUUGGUACGACGCCUGCACCGGAUGGCUGGCCACACGUCAACGGAAGCAGAUUUUCGAAUUUUCCAAGCCGUUUCUGAAACCUCUUGAG